rnacentral:rRNA from 1 species
UACGUAGGUGGCAAGCGUUGUCCGGAUUUACUGGGCGUAAAGAGCGCGCAGGCGGUCGUUCAAGUCGCGUGUGAAAGCCCCCGGCUCAACUGGGGAGGGUCACGCGAUACUGAUCGACUCGAAGGCAGGAGAGGGUAGUGGAAUUCCCGGUGUAGUGGUGAAAUGCGUAGAUAUCGGGAGGAACACCAGUGGCGAAGGCGGCUUCCUGGACUGUCCCUGACGCUGAGGCGCGAAAGCGUGGGUAGCAAACAGG